rfam:Aedes aegypti strain Liverpool supercont1.54 genomic scaffold, whole genome shotgun sequence.
CCUCGCAUGGCGUAGUGGUAACGCGCCCCAACUAGAGAUCGGGGAGUCGUGAAUUCGAUUCUCACUGAGAAGA